UGUAUGUUUGUGAAACAUUUUUCAGGUUGCUUUUGAAGAAGAUACAAAUGUUGGGUGCUCAAGAACUCCUAUACACUAUACAUAUUCUUCUGAAUGUAUCAAAAAUUGUACUAGGUUUUCUAUAUCGAAAUGAAUGCAGCUACGAUGAUUGGAUCCCCUUAUACAUUAUGAUCCCGGCUGUGAUUGAGAUAUACGUUUCCAUUUAUCCGGAAUUGUUACUACGGACAGCCAUUUCGCACGGACAAUUAAUAGUUAGCACUCAUCUACACGCACUCAUUUUUGUGAGUAAAGCGUAUGUAAAAUAUAUCUGGGCUACUAUCUGCGGAGUGGAAAAGUGUGUGAAUAUUUCUUGUGACUCGUUUUUUCUGAAUUUUGCUUUUUUCACAGUUGUGUAUGAUUGGUUUUGGAUUUUCAUGAUAUGCUGUAUGGCAGCGAGGACUUUUGAAAACAAUAGACGCUUAACAUUCACAACUAGUGAACUGUUGUAAACUUCUGUGAUGUAUAUUUGUAUUUGAAGUAUAAGACUAGAACUUUAAAAAUUCGACUGAGUACUUGUCUGAAACUUUUCACCUGUCUGUGUAUUGAAUAGAGAACCCGGAUUUAAGACCACCCCUAAAUUAAGACUACCUUACUAUUAAGAACACUUUUUUUUUCAGAAUGGACUUUUUUUCUUUAUUUCAGUCUACUUAGUUAUUCUCCUUUAUUAAAGAAAACGCAAGAUGUAUGUUUGAUUCAUUUUGUGAUAUGUUAAGAUUCGUAUAAUUAUUGAUUUGUGUUGAUAUUAUAUUUAUUUUAUUCCAGUUAAUGAAAGACUGUGUUUCAACAGUGAAAUAUAAUCCACAUAACUCACAUUGUGAAAGAUAUAGUUUAUGCUAUUUUGCACCAAUUUGCAUAUUAAAAUAAAAAGAU